GACGAACGCUGGCGGCGUGCCUAAUACAUGCGAGUUGAGCGCUGAAGGUUGGUACUUGUACCAACUGGAUGAGCAGCGAACGGGUGAGUAACGCGUGGGGAAUCUGCCUUUGAGCGGGGGACAACAUUUGGGAACGAAUGCUAAUACCGCAUAAAAACUUUAAACACAAGUUUUAAGUUUGAAAGAUGCAAUUGCAUCACUCAAAGAUGAUCCCGCGUUGUAUUAGCUAGUUGGUGAGGUAAAGGCUCACCAAGGCGAUGAUACAUAGCCGACCUGAGAGGGUGAUCGGCCACAUUGGGACUGAGACACGGCCCAAACUCCUACGGGAGGCAGCAGUAGGGAAUCUUCGGCAAUGGACGAAAGUCUGACCGAGCAACGCCGCGGGAGUGAAGAAGGUUGUCGGAUCGUAAAACUCGGUUGGUAGAGAAGAACGUUGGUGAGAGUGGAAAGCUCAUCAAGUGACGGUAACUACCCAGAAAGGGACGGCUAACUACGUG
rnacentral:rRNA from 1 species